rnacentral:rRNA from 1 species
AGAGUUUGAUCCUGGCUCAGGAUGAACGCUAGCGGCGUGCCUUAUGCAUGCAAGUCGAACGGUCUUAAGCAAUUAAGAUAGUGGCGAACGGGUGAGUAACGCGUAAGUAACCUACCUCUAAGUGGGGGAUAGCUUCGGGAAACUGAAGGUAAUACCGCAUGUGGUGGACCGACAUAUGUUGGUUCACUAAAGCCGUAAGGCGCUUGGUGAGGGGCUUGCGUCCGAUUAGCUAGUUGGUGGGGUAAUGGCCUACCAAGGCUUCGAUCGGUAGCUGGUCUGAGAGGAUGAUCAGCCACACUGGGACUGAGACACGGCCCAGACUCCUACGGGAGGCAGCAGCAAGGAAUCUUGGGCAAUGGGCGAAAGCCUGACCCAGCAACGCCGCGUGAGGGAUGAAGGCUUUCGGGUUGUAAACCUCUUUUCAUAGGGAAGAAUAAUGACGGUACCUGUGGAAUAAGCUUCGGCUAACUACGUGCCAGCAGCCGCGGUAAUACGUAGGAAGCAAGCGUUAUCCGGAUUUAUUGGGCGUAAAGUGAGCGUAGGUGGUCUUUCAAGUUGGAUGUGAAAUUUCCCGGCUUAACCGGGACGAGUCAUUCAAUACUGUUGGACUAGAGUACAG